UACGAGAGGCCCAAACGUUAUUCGGAAUCACUGGGCUUAAAGAGUUCGUAGGCGGUCUGGAAAGUUGGGUGUGAAAUCCCUCGGCCUAACCGAGGAACUGCGCUCAAAACUACCAGACUUGAGGAAGAUAGAGGUAAGCGGAACUGAUGGUGGAGCGGUGAAAUGCGUUGAUAUCAUCAGGAACACCGGAGGCGAAGGCGGCUUACUGGGUCUUUUCUGACGCUGAGGAACGAAAGCUAGGGGAGCGAACGGG
rnacentral:rRNA from 1 species